UACGGAGAGUGCAAGCGUUAUCCGGAUUCACUGGGUUUAAAGGGUGCGUAGGUGGGCAAGUAAGUCAGUGGUGAAAUCUCCGGGCUUAACCCGGAAACUGCCAUUGAUACUAUUUGUCUUGAAUACUGUGGAGGUCAGCGGAAUAUGUCAUGUAGCGGUGAAAUGCUUAGAUAUGACAUAGAACACCAAUUGCGAAGGCAGCUGGCUACACAAAUAUUGACACUGAGGCACGAAAGCGUGGGGAUCAAACAGG
rnacentral:rRNA from 1 species